UGGGGAAUUUUCCGCAAUGGGCGCAAGCCUGACGGAGCAAUACCGCGUGAGGGAGGAAGGCUUUUGGGUUGUAAACCUCUUUUCUCAAGGAAGAAGUCCUGACGGUACUUGAGGAAUCAGCAUCGGCUAACUCCGUGCCAGCAGCCGCGGUAAUACGGAGGAUGCAAGCGUUAUUCGGAAUUAUUGGGCGUAAAGCGCGCGUAGGCGGCCUUGUAAGUCGGAUGUGAAAGCCCCGGGCUUAACCUGGGAAUUGCAUUCGAUACUGCAGAACUAGAGUAUGGUAGAGGGAAGUGGAAUUUCCGGUGUAGCGGUGAAAUGCGUAGAUAUCGGAAGGAACACCAGUGGCGAAGGCGACUUCCUGGGCCAAUACUGACGCUGAGGUGCGAAAGCGUGGGGAGCAAACAGGAUUAGAUACCCCUGUAGUCC
rnacentral:rRNA from 1 species